UACGUAGGGGGCAAGCGUUAUCCGGAUUUAUUGGGCGUAAAGGGUGCGUAGGCGGCGCGGUAAGUCGGGUGUGAAAUCUCGGGGCUUAACUCCGAGACUGCAUUCGAUACUGCCGUGCUUGAGGACUGGAGAGGAGACUGGAAUUUACGGUGUAGCGGUGAAAUGCGUAGAUAUCGUAAGGAAGACCAGUGGCGAAGGCGGGUCUCUGGACAGUUCCUGACGCUGAGGCACGAAGGCCAGGGGAGCAAACGGG
rnacentral:rRNA from 1 species